GUUGAACGCUGGCGGCAUGCCUUACACAUGCAAGUCGAACGGCAGCACGGGAGCAAUCCUGGUGGCGAGUGGCGAACGGGUGAGUAAAGUAUCGGAACGUGCCCAGUCGUGGGGGAUAACGUAGCGAAAGUUACGCUAAUACCGCAUACGAUCUAUGGAUGAAAGCGGGGGAUCGCAAGACCUCGCGCGAUUGGAGCGGCCGAUAUCAGAGUAGGUAGUUGGUGGGGUAAAGGCUCACCAAGCCGACGAUCUGUAGCUGGUCUGAGAGGACGACCAGCCACACUGGGACAGAGACACGGCCCAGACUCCUACGGGAGGCAGCAGUGGGGAAUUUUGGACAAUGGGCGCAAGCCUGAUCCAGCCAUGCCGCGUGCAGGAUGAAGGCCUUCGGGUUGUAAACUGCUUUUGUACGGAACGAAAAGGUUUGACUUAAUACGUUGGACUCAUGACGGUACCGUAAGAAUAAGCACCGGCUAACUACGUGCCAGCCGCCGCAGUAA
rnacentral:rRNA from 1 species